UAGGGAAUCUUCGGCAAUGGGGGCAACCCUGACCGAGCAACGCCGCGUGAGUGAAGAAGGUUUUCGGAUCGUAAAGCUCUGUUGUAAGAGAAGAACGUGUGUGAGAGUGGAAAGUUCACACAGUGACGGUAACUUACCAGAAAGGGACGGCUAACUACGUGCCAGCAGCCGCGGUAAUACGUAGGUCCCGAGCGUUGUCCGGAUUUAUUGGGCGUAAAGCGAGCGCAGGCGGUUUAAUAAGUCUGAAGUUAAAGGCAGUGGCUUAACCAUUGUUCGCUUUGGAAACUGUUAAACUUGAGUGCAGAAGGGGAGAGUGGAAUUCCAUGUGUAGCGGUGAAAUGCGUAGAUAUAUGGAGGAACACCGGUGGCGAAAGCGGCUCUCUGGUCUGUAACUGACGCUGAGGCUCGAAAGCGUGGUGAGCAAACAGG
rnacentral:rRNA from 1 species